rnacentral:rRNA from 1 species
CAGCCGUAAACAAUGUGCGUUAGGUGUGUCGGUAACCACGUGUUACUGAUGCGCCGAAGAGAAAUCGUGAAACGCACCACCUGGGAAGUACGGUCGCAAGGCUGAAACUUAAAGGAAUUGGCGGGGGAGCACCACAACAGGUGGAGCCUGCGGUUUAAUUGGAUUCAACACCGUAAAACUCACCAGGGAAGACUGUUACAUGAAGGCCGAGAUGAAGACUCUGCUAGAUUUUCAGAGAGGAGGUGCAUGGCGUAGACGUCU